AUCAAUAUUGAUCAAACCUAAUGAUGCACAUUGAAUUUUUAUGUACAAGGGAUUGCUUUAAGAUGAGAAUCGUGCACCAACUAGGUAAUUUUUCAUCUUCUUUUUCUUCAGUGCCAUUGACAAUCGACAUGUACUAGGUGUACUGUAAAGUGAUGGUACAUUGUUGAAGUUCGAUUGAGUCAGUGUAGUUCAGAAAUUAUACAUCGUAUUUGCUUAGAUGAUCAACUCGUAAUAACAAGUGCUACCAAGAAUAAAUAGCAAACUCACUUAGGGGUAAUGUAUGUCAACAUUUACUGUACAAAAACACAGCUGAUAAUUGUGCGACGAGUGCCAGUGUGUGGUGAUUGGCUCCCUUGUAUUUUCGGGUAACCCAGUGCUUGCAUGCAAUUCGAGUUAAAAUCUCCAGGUACAAAUUAAUUCAACAUUGUGCUUAGCUACCGUUUCCUGAAUCCGUGGUAAUCUUUGCAUCGCUCCGAUUCCGCAACAACUCGUGAACCUAUGUGCCAGUGAUAUCAACGUCGCCAUCACUGGAGGAAUCAUAAUAUGGUGUAAGAUUUUACAUGCUCUUACAUUCAACAGAGUUGGUGUACCCACCGAUUUUUCAUAGGUUACAAAGUACCACAUGUGAGGGAAAAAUAUGUACUGCAGAAUACAAUUUAUGACUUGCGGUUCCUGACUAACGUACAGGGUUGAAAACAUGACACUUGUCGUAGUCGGCAAUUUAGGUGGCCAACACAACUGUUUGGAUAGUUUCCUAGAAUAAACAAAUAAUAAACCUAAUAUCGAUUUUUCCAGUGUUUAACAAAAUAAACAGUUUCAUGUAAUCUGUAAAUAUUUUCAGGUUUGUCAAUCACGGAUGAAUGAAUUUGUGGGUUAUGAGUUGAUUUCUGGAUACUGUACUAUAAUUUAUCCCUGAACUUAAGGAGUGGGAUGGUUGGCUCGUACUUAAAAUAACGAAUGCGAUAAGAUGAUGAUAGAAGUGUUCCAGUUUAUUUUAACACAAAACGAAGAUUGUGGUGAGCCCGAAAAAGAAUGAAUGUACCUCAAGAAACGGCUAUCUUCAUCGCUAGCAGGAGUUGACAUUGUGACAUGUCGUGCGACUCUGUGCAGUCUCAGCCGGUAAGAGAGGCAGCAAAUUGUCCUAGAUUGUAAUCCCAUAUACUGUGACUGGUCCCACCACUCUUGCAAAUCGUAGAGCAUUGCGUGGAGGCCCUUGUUGACUCCAACUGAUGCCGCAGCAUCAUUUCCAUCUCCCCCAGCCGCAGUGGACCUGCCAGCCUGUUUGCUAACACCUUUGAAUAAAAGUGAUUUUAUUUCAAAUUCCCAUAUGAUGACAACGAUUAUCUUCACUUCUUAUUCAAGUUUUCUACACAUAACAGGGUGCAACUUGGUUACAAAUAUAUCUUCACCACAAUAAUAUGUAUUUAGAAACCUAUUCUUGAGAAAGUGCUUGCGCCGAAAAAGGCAAACGCAAGGCUCAAGUGCCGAUAUUUACAGAUCUGGCUACAGAAAUCUUACCUUUCCAGCAUUUCCAGAUACAAAUUAUGGGUCGAGAAGCUGUGCAGCAUCUACAGUGCUGAGACAUUGCUAGCUACUGAGAUUUU
rnacentral:lncRNA from 1 species